rnacentral:rRNA from 1 species
ACGCUAGCUACAGGCUUAACACAUGCAAGUCGAGGGGAAACGACAUCGAAAGCUUGCUUUUGAUGGGCGUCGACCGGCGCACGGGUGAGUAACGCGUAUCCAACCUGCCCACCACUUGGGGAUAACCUUGCGAAAGUAAGACUAAUACCCAAUGACGUCUCUAGAAGACAUCUGAAAGAGAUUAAAGAUUUAUCGGUGAUGGAUGGGGAUGCGUCUGAUUAGCUUGUUGGCGGGGUAACGGCCCACCAAGGCGACGAUCAGUAGGGGUUCUGAGAGGAAGGUCCCCCACAUUGGAACUGAGACACGGUCCAAACUCCUACGGGAGGCAGCAGUGAGGAAUAUUGGUCAAUGGACGAGAGUCUGAACCAGCCAAGUAGCGUGCAGGAUGACGGCCCUAUGGGUUGUAAACUGCUUUUAUAAGGGAAUAAAGUGAGUCUCGUGAGACUUUUUGCAUGUACCUUAUGAAUAAGGACCGGCUAAUUCCGUGCCAGCAGCCGCGGUAAUACGGAAGGUCCGGGCGUUAUCCGGAUUUAUUGGGUUUAAAGGGAGCGUAGGCCGGAGAUUAAGCGUGUUGUGAAAUGUAGACGCUCAACGUCUGCACUGCAGCGCGAACUGGUUUCCUUGAGUACGCACAAAGUGGGCGGAAUUCGUGGUGUAGCGGUGAAAUGCUUAGAUAUCACGAAGAACUCCGAUUGCGAAGGCAGCUCACUGGAGCGCAACUGACGCUGAAGCUCGAAAGUGCGGGUAUCGAACAGGAUUAGAUACCCUGGUAGUCCGCACGGUAAACGAUGGAUGCCCGCUGUUGGUCUGAAUAGGUCAGCGGCCAAGCGAAAGCAUUAAGCAUCCCACCUGGGGAGUACGCCGGCAACGGUGAAA